AGCAUAACAAGAGCUUCAAUCCCCUUAAGGUGUGUGGAACUGCUGGCUUUUAAAGAGACAGACUCAAUUUCCACCAAGUCCAGGUGGGUUAAUAAUUCUCAUCCACUUAUUGUUGAGACUGAUUGUCAAGCUGCUGUCAGCUGGGUAACUAAAAGACUCCUGUCAAAGCUCCAUGGAAUUAUUAAGCUGAUCGAUCGUAAGUGGUUGAUAGCUGUAUCGAAGAGUUGUUGGAAAGAUUUUAGGUUCAACGAUGAAAUUGAUUUGAUUGGAAAUCAGUUAGUAUGAAUGGUUUGGAAUCAGUAAAAACCAAAAAUUGAGGUAAGAAUUGAUGAUUGUAUCGAUUUAUAAUUUAUAAUUAUUUAUUUAAUUAUUGUUAAAUUGAUAUCAUUGAAUUAAUUGGAUUGAGAAUUGAUAGUCUGACCGGUUUAAUUAUCAAUUCGAUUUUUAAACCAUUAUUAUUUUUGUUGAAAUCAAGGUAUUUACUGUCAAAAGUAGUGAUUAAUUCUCUCGUCGUGAAUGUUUUUCAAAAAAUAAAUAGUUGACUACAAAAUGUACUCCAUUCUCAUCGAUGGAGAUCGAAACCUGACCACAUAAAAUGGAUUGUUUUUUAAAAACAUUGUCUCUAGGUAGCCUUCAAUGAUUGUGCUGAUAGGAUAGCAAAAUCAGCUCUAACUAGGAAGGAAAAACAGUGGUAUAUUGCAUCACCUGUAGUUGCUAAUGAUUUUGUAACUCGUGUUUAUUUGAAGCUAGUUUAUUAUUGUUUUUGUAAAGUGUUGUGAAAGUGCAUUUGAAAAGUUUGAUUUAAUAUCUAAAUUGUUAAUAGUGUUAUUAAAAAGUGCUUUAAAAAAGAUGAAAUGUUUAUUUUAGAUAUUAUGUUAUAAAGUAAAAUAAAAAUAUACAUUUAAAUUACAGUCAACCUUCUUUAUAAUAAUCUCAUUUGUCUACCAAUGUAACAUCCCAAAAAUCGGGUUAGAAGAAAUUGAGUUUGAGACCAAGAGUGGAAAUCUCUCGAUUUUGAGUUUAGAUUUUGGAAAGUUUUAAUAAGUAAGUUGAUUUGGUUUAGUGGUUAAGUGUUUUGGUUUUGUAUGUGAGGUAUUGGGUUUGAAUAUUAUCUUUUGAAAUUUUGCUACUUUUGACUAAAUCUUUAUAUUUGGACAUGUGGGUUAUAUGUUAGAUUCAGUCCAUUUAUGACAAAAAUAAGUUUAUUGGUUUAAUGGUUAAGCUUUUGUGUAUUUUUUGAUCGUGUUCGAAUCUUUCCCUGUGAAAGUAAUAGGGAAUGUUUUAUUUUUGAAUUUCUUUGUGAGGUAGUUAGUUUCAGUUGAUUAAAUUAAACUUCCCAGAAACCUUCUACAUUUGUGGCAUUAUUGUGUUUUUCUUUUUAUUUUCCAUUUUCUGUUUCUACCAUUCUUCCGUUAUUUUUUUAUUUUUCUUCGUUUUGAUUCUUCUCUUCAAACUACCUUCCUUUUUGUUCUGUUAUGCCAAAUUGAUUCUGUACGGGGUCGGACUUCUCCUUUUUGGUUCAAUUCAUUACCGGUAAGUUUGAUUUAAAGUUUGUGUCUGAAGUUCUUCAACGUAACUUCAAUCUCGGAUGUUAAUCUUAGUAUUUUGAGUGCGAAUAUGUUGUCUGAUUGUCGUUGUAAUGUCGUUUUAGGGACGUGAAUUCACCCUUGUUACUUUUGCAUCGAAUCUGUAUCAGGUGGGUAUCGAUAACCCAAUUUUUGUUUCGAGUUUAAUCGUUGGAAAACUAAUUGUCGACGUUACACGACCGUAUGUUAGACCAUGUAAACAAUCUAUAUCUUUAUAAUGUUUAAAGGAUUAAAUUAAAUUUUUAUUAUUUUUAAUGAUGUCAAAGUAAAAUUUUAUUUUUACUAAUUUAAAAUUUUAAAAUAUUUAAAAGAAUUCAAUGAAAAAUUUUCAUUUAGGGGUACGCCUUGCCAGUCCCCUGACUAGGCACCUGUAUAAAGAUUUAAUAAAAUAUGUCUAUAUAUAUAUACGGGGGAAAAGUAUGUUUUUCUCUUUCUCGAUUAGUUUGGAGCUUCUAGGACCCCCAUUGCUUUUGGAGCUUGAGAGGGCUGCUAAAAUAGUUUUGAAAGGCUGCGAAAUGGGGAGGACUUGGAAAUGGAGGAUGCUGGUGGAAAGAAGUUGCCUUUUAAGGAUACACUUUCGGCUAAUCCUAAGCAAGUGGGAGAGGUGGAGUCAUGGAAUGAGGAUUUAGAAAUUGAAGUGCGUGAUGAGGAUGGAGCAAUCAAUUAUUGUCCACUUACUUGGAAGUCUAUUGGGUUUAGAGCACUCGCAUGUAGGAUACAAGCCCUUCGAAAACUAGAAGGAAAUUUACAAAUUGUUAAUCUUGAUAAUGAAUAUUACUUAGUGAAGCUUUCUCCCAAAGAAAGAUUAUGAUAAGGGUCUUACCAAUAUUGGACCUUAGGCAGCUUAUAGGAGUUAUUUUGGUGGUGCAACCAUAGAGCAUAUCAUUUUCGAUGAAAGAUCUUCACCUGUCGCAUAUUGUGGUAUGGGUAACACUACCGGGGUUGCCUUACAUGUAUUACAAUAAGGAUUUGUUCAGAGCAAUUGCUGGGGCGAUUGGUCAGGCUGUCAAGAUUGAUUACAAUACUAUAGUAGGCAGGAGGCGAAAGUUUGUGACGUUAGCAGUAGUGGUAGAUUUGAGAAAACCAUUGAUUUCUUGUAUUGGAAUUGACAACUUCCUUCAAAGGGUUGAGUAUGAUGGACUAUUGUUUAUUUGCUAUGAGUGUGGGUGUUAAGGACACACCAAAGAAACUUGCGGUGUGCGACAGCCUAAGUAAAUGAAGUGCAUGAGCAGAACCAAACUGAAUUAGUUAUCAGGUUUGAUCAUCUUAAGAAGAAGGAUUAUGUUGGCAAGCUGUUUAGACCAUGGAUGUAGGUCCAAAGUCACCAGAGAAAGGCGGUGAUUGGGAAUGGAGAGGCCAAGGCUCACAGGGAAAUUAGGAAAGAUAAGGCAACUACUAGAAUUUUGAGAUUUAAAAUCUUAGAGGGUUAUGAUGAUGAGGUGGAUAUUAAGGAGGUAGAACAUAGUAAUAAGGAUUACUCCAAAAAUAUAGGAGGGAUUUUGGAGCAGGUCCCUAGUAAUGCAAAAUUUAAGGGAGCAAUUAUUAGAGGUAAGGAUAAGGGCAAACAAAAGGAAAACCAAUGGUUUAGAUAAUGAAAAGACUGAUAUGGGCAAUGAGGAGAGUUGGCUUGACAUGUCUAGAAACAAAGGCUAAAUUGUGGAAACAUAUAAGGCCAGUAUGUGAGUUUAGUGGGCUUAGAGUGAAACCUUUAGGUGAUGGAAUAUUGGAUCAAUUAUUGGUGGACCAAAAGAAACAAUUGUAAGGAAAGAAAUUGGGCUCGAUAGUACAAACAUUCGGUUGUUUUGGUCGUGGAACAAGAUGGGUGAUUUGCAUGGCCAACCUAUAGCAUGCAAAAGUUAGUGGUAACAAUGGUUUAGCUUUGAGUAACCAUAAUAAAAGAGUUAUGGGAUAUCCUUUCUGAAUGGGGUAAGAAAUUAUCCCAACGGUUGGAUAUAGAGCUUGACGGGAAAACGAUGGGGGUGGUGAAUCCAAUUCCGAAGUCUGCCAAUAUUGCCAAUAUUGACAAGGGUGACAAUAUAUAGCAUGACCUUGGGGUAAAGAAACAAAAAACAACGCAAGACUCCGGUGUUGUAUUUAUGGUCGAUUUUGUUGUAGUAACUUGCAUUGCUUACUAGAUAAUAUAUUGAAUCGUGAAAUUGUAAUUAAUCGAAUAAUUAGCAAAACGACAUUGAAUAUGGCAUUUGGAUAUGAUAAAUGAGAUUGUGAGUGAAUAUAAAACAUAGAUCUUAUAAGUGAAUUAAUUGCCUAUUGAAUUGAUAUUAUCUUUAUGUGCUUUAUGGAGUUACCACUUAGGAUUGAUAAUGCUCAAUGUACCAUUGUUGUUUUCUUUACGUGCGCAGGUUAGUCAAAUUAAGGAAGAGUAGCAUCAAAUACUCAGUCACAACUACCUCAAUUUGAACAAUCUGCUAAUGUGUUGAGUUCAAAAAUGGUAGUUUUUGGCAUGUACAUAAUAGGGGUCAUUAUAAGAAUCAAAUUAUCGUUUUGUUUUGGUCGUGUUAUGACUUGUAUAUAGGUAUAUCUAUUCUUCGCUUGAAAAUGAUGUUAAAUGCUUGAAUGGCUUUAUUUGGCUCUUUGUUAGCAUGAAAAUAUGAUUGAGGAGAUAGUAGCAUGGAAUACUAUAAUAAAUUGAGUUUAGUGAUCCUUCAGAUGAUCAUUUAGGCUUUAGAACUAUUGUCAUAUUGGUUAGAGUGUUACGUAAGGUAUUAUAUAUAGGUCUUAGUGAAAGAAAAUAAACCUCUUAUUAGGCUUAUCUGGGCCACGCAACACUUAAGUUUUGGUAAUUGAGGCAAGGGUACUGUAACAGCUUGAUUUUUUAGUAGUGUCAGAAACAGUAGUUUGAGGCCACCAAAUUCGGCAGGUAAGUUCGUAAAUAUUAUUAUUUAAUAUUUACGAGUUAAAUAUGGUUUUAAAAAAGUUUUUGAAUUAGUAAUUUGUGUUUUAUAAUGAUUAUUAGGUUAAGUGGUUUUAGAAAGUGAGGUAUCGGGACCUCGUUUCUAUAAACCGAACUGUAAAUAUUUUUAUAAAUAUUUACAGAGUGCCAUUAAGAUGGUUUUAAAGUUUUGUUGAAAAAUUUUAAUGUUUGGAUAGUCAAUUAAUGAAAAAGGACUAAAUUGAAAAAGUGUAAAACUUGUUAAAUAUAAUAAUUAGGUGAUUAAAUGGCUUAAUUAAUAAAUAAAGAAGGACCUAAGUAAUAAUUGUACCUAAAUUUAAUGGAUGAGGCGGCAUAAGAGAAAAAAAAUAAUAAAAUAGAGGCAC
rnacentral:lncRNA from 1 species